rnacentral:tRNA from 1 species
GGGCAUUUAGCUCAGUGGCAGAGCGCCUCGUUCACAUCGAGGAGGUCGUAGGUUCAAAUCCUACAAUGCCCACCA